rnacentral:rRNA from 1 species
UACGUAGGAUGCAAGGGUUGUCCGGCUUUAUGGGGUUUAAAGGGUGCGUGGGCGGCCUAUUAAGUUAGUGGUGAAAACGUUCGGCUUAACCGGAUACCCGCCAUUGAUACUGAUAGACUUGAGUGCGACAGAGGGUGUUGGAAUGUGUGGUGUAGCGGUGAAAUGCUUAGAUAUCACGCAGAACACCAAUUGCGAAGGCAGAUGCCUAUGUCGUAACUGACGCUGAGGCACGAAAGCGUGGGGAGCAAACAGG